AUGCAUUUUACGGGGUGUAUUGAA
rnacentral:siRNA from 1 species